GUCCACGCCGUAAACGAUGUGAGUUUGUCGCUGGGAGGUUUACCUCUCGGUGACGUAGCUAACGCGAUAAACUCACCGCCUGGGAAGUACGGCCGCAAGGCUAAAACUCAAAAGGAAUUGACGGGACCCGCACAAGCGGUGGAGUAUGUGGUUUAAUUCGUCGCAACGCGAAGAACCUUACCAGGCCUUGACAUGCCGAUUAAAGAGAAGUAGAGAUAUUUCUCGUCAUUUAGUUGGAUCGGACACAGGUGCUGCAUGGCUGUCGU
rnacentral:rRNA from 1 species